CACCACCGAACAAUCACUCUCUGAACAAACCCUGACCUUUCCUUUCUGAAGCUUUUUCAUCUCUUCCACCGUGGUGAAAUAGUUCACAGCAGCAUAUUCAAUGACCGACAGGAAAACAAAGAGGAAACUGGCCCAAAGGGCUUGUGCUAUGAUGUCAAGGACGUGUAUGAAAAGAGCAGCUUCCUGCCUGGGUGUCUAACGUCUCCUGGCCUGACUAUCAAGGUAUUUUUGAGUACUUGCUGAUGAGUGUACAUGCACACACAGACGGUCAUACUCACAACUCUCCAGCUCUAGAGAGCAGUUCUGCGUGUCUAGAGGAAACCGGCUGAAGUCCAUGGAGCAGAGAGCCGUCACCGUGAUUCUGC